AGAGGUUUAGGAUAGGUAGACCAAGGGCCUUCAAAGCCCUAAGCGAGGGUGGAAACCCCCCAACCUCUG
rnacentral:tRNA from 1 species